ACUGUGCAAAGGUAGCAUAAUCAUUAGUCUUUUAAUUGAAGGCUGGUAUGAAUGGUUGGACGAGAUAUUAACUGUUUCAUAAAAAUUUAUAUUAGAAUUUUAUUUUCUAGUCAAAAAGCUAAAAUAUAGUUAAAAGACGAGAAGACCCUAUAAAUCUUUAUAUUUAUGUUGUUAUAAUUUUAUAGAAUUUUUUUGUUGUAAUAAUUUAUAAUAUUUUAUUGGGGUGAUAUUAAAAUUUAAUUAACUUUUAAUUUUAAAAAAUCAUUAAUUUAUGAAUAAUUGAUCCGUUAUUAACGAUUAAAAAAAUAAGUUACUUUAGGGAUAACAGCGUAAUUUUUUUGGAGAGUUCAUAUCGAUAAAAAAGAUUGCGACCUCGAUGUUGGAUUAAGAUAUAAUUUUAGGUGUAGUCGCUUAAAUUUUAAGUCU
rnacentral:rRNA from 1 species